GGCCUCUCCCAUUGCGAAGCACAGGCUCCGGACGCGAAGGCCCAGCGGCCAUGGCCCACGGGCCCAGCCGCUCCGCGGCAUGUGGGAUCCAGGGCACGAACCCGUGUCCCCUACAUCGGCAGGCGGACUCCCAACCACUGCGCCACCAGGGAAGCCCCCACUCACUUCUAUAUACAGUUAAAUAUGGCUAGCUGUACUGGGAUAACAAUGGCUUCUCGGAAUCUGCCUUUCACUGAUUAUACUGCUCACCUAUCAUCAAGUGUGUCAUGAAGAUACAGGCCGGCGGCUGUAUGGCACUCCCAAAAUGUCAUACAUACGGUGCCCGGCAUCAGACGUUUAUAGGUAAAGUAGAGAAACAAGGUGUGAAAGAGCCAGGAGUUGGUCCAUGAAAAAUUCUUCCAAAUCUUAGAGCUCAUAUACAAAAGAAACGUGUAGGGGCUUUCCCACAUUUGACACCAACCCUAAAAGUGUACUCAUGUCACCCAUCACAACUGGUGUAGCUGAAAGAAACCUUUCCUAGUCUAUCAAAAAUGAAAGACAAAUUUUGAUGUGAGGAAAGAUUGAAUUAUCUUUCUUUUCUUUCCCUUAGAAAGUGAUAUUGCAAAAUUGUUGUCAAAUAAAGAGUUAUUCAGAAUAUUGAUCCCCCAAAAUGCAAGGAACAAAGAAGUAUUAGAGAGGUAAAAGUUCUGAGCACCCCAAUUCCAGCGUGUCGUAGGAUUUUUCCAAGUAAUCCUCAGAUACCACCAGAGUGUCCUACAAGUCAACUCAAUUCUGACACUAUCUACCUGGAGAUAGCAUCAGAUCCCACAGGUUAAGGGCUCAGUUCCACAAGACUGCCUCCCACUUCAGAUGCCAGUUACAAGUCCAAGUUGUCACCUGGGCUUCUGACCCACUGGCUGUAGAUUGGAGAUUCCCACAACCUCAUUCUUGGGUUUGAUUAAUCUGCUAGAGCAGCUCACAGAACUCAGAGAAAGGUUUUGCUGUCUAGAUUCCUGGUCUAGAUUCCUGAAAAGAUGGAACUCCAAAACAGCCAGAUGGAAGAGAUACACAGGCAAGGCAUGGAGAAGGCACAGAGCUUCCAUGCCGUCUCAAGAGUGCACCAUUCUCCCCAAAUCUCUACACGUUCACCAACCUAGAAGCUCUUUGAGCCCUGUCUUUUUGAGUUUUUACGUAGGCUUCAUUACAUAGGCAUUAUUGAUUAAAUCAUUGGCCAUUGGCAAUUGAUUCGACUUCCACUCCCUCCCCUCUCCCCUCCCCAGAGGCAGGGGGGUGGGACUGAAAGUUCCAACCGUCUAAUCAUGUGGUUGGUUCUCCUGCCAACCAGCCCUCAUCCUUAGGUGCAUUCCAAAAGUCAUCUCAUAAUAUAAUAUAAAACACACCUUUAUCUUUCUCAUCACUUAGGAGAUUCUGAGGCUUUUAGGAGCUCUAUGCCCGGAAUGGGGAUGUAGACCAAGUAUAUAUUUCUUACUAUAAAUCACAAUGUCACAGAGGUGUGUUGGGCAAUUAAUUAAUACAAUUAUUAUGCUCUUUUUCUGGCUUUGUGAUGUUUGGAUUAUUAUCAGCUUUUUAAAAUGUGUAAUUUCUUGAGAUUUAUUUUCUUAUUCAAAAUAAAUAUUUACUUUUGUACCUAACUUUGUAUUAAUAAUUUUGUAUCACUUUUAUGAAAGAGGGCCUCUGAAAUUGUAUAAGCUUCAGGUCUUACAAGACUUGGAUUUAUCCCGGCUGGCUUAGUUAUUUUCAAAGUGUUGUUAUGCAAAGAUGAUUUGUUUCAUAGGGUACCAGAGGGCCAGAAAUUUAAUUGAUGGUGCGAGUCGCAGGAGAACAGAUUUCAGGUCAGUUUAAGAAGAAUAUUUUAAUAUUCAGAGCCUUCCAAAGAUGAAGAGGGAAAUCAUGAGGAGUAGUGAGUUCCAUGACAGUGGAGAUAGUUAAGUAAAGGCUUCACCAUCAGUUGACAUGGCUAUUGUCGUGUGGGCCCAAGCUUGCAAGGCCGUUUGGGCAUAAUGAAUUUUCAGGUAUACUUUGAUGCCUAGAGUUUCUGCUUCUUCCUUUCUGAUGUACCCACGGCCCCCUUCUUAUGCCCUCACACUGCUUUCACAGUAGACUCUUACUUUCUGUCCAAGUAAUGAGGACAGAAAACAAGGAAGCUGACAAUCUUUUUAUGAAGAGGAACUGAGGUUUCAGAAGGGAGAUUAAUGGCCUGGCAUGUUCAGCCAUCAAGAGGGAAUCCACUGCAGACAGUUUCUAGAAACACCUUCUACAAGCUUCCCAAAGACCUAAUCGCCUCCUAAAGGAAAGACCCAGCUUCUCACUAAAGGUGGAGGCAGUUGCUUUGCCAUUAACCUUUUCAAGGGGUCACUUCCACACCAUGCACCCAACACGCCACGCAGAAAAUGUAACUGAAUAUCAGUUUUGCUUUUCUUCUUGCUUAACUGUUUUAAAUGUCCUUGAACUGCAUUUCUCCACCAGGCUUAAUGUUAUGGAUUGUGGAUUACAUUUACUGCUCAGCACUCCUUACUCAAUCCUGGACGAUCGCAGACCUACUGAGUUGUUAACUCACAUGGUCAGCAUUACUGCCUGAGAGUAGUUAUACCAAAUGACUGUAGCAGAGAACAGUUAACACCUGGCCUUAGUGAGGCCCAGUGAAAUCAGCACUUUGAUUCUUCUUUUCCACCCAGCAAAAACCCAGGGGGGAUGUAUGCAUAAUGACUUGGGUUAACUGUCCUUAUCUUCCAGAGUUCAGAUUACUACUCCAGUCUUCCUAGCUGCCUUAUCUUGGAAAAUUAUAUUUGAAAGCUGCAGGAUGUCCACUUCUCCCAUCUUACAGGCAGUUUACAGUAUUCCAGAGAAAGAUGUGAGUUCUUCCCAGUCACAGAGAAAGUCAGGAGGUUGCUCCGUUUUUGUUUUUGUUUUCGUACUAGCACAAGUCACCUGGUUAGGAGAUUUCCAAAAAGUUGUUGUGGAAGCUACAAAAAGCUUUAGAAUCAUAGACUCAAAGUUGAAAGGGACCUUAAAAGUUAUUUAGUAUUUGCAUCUCUACACCUUGAACAUCUUCUCAAAUAAAGAUGACUAGAACCUGCCGCAUGUAUGACGUCCCACUGAAGCGACUUUAUCUCCUGAUCAGGAUGAGAAUUCCACUCCUGUCGGACAGAUGAGCCCAGGAGAGUGGAGCACAAUGGACCUGUGAGGUUUUAUUAGAGGAGACCCUGAAUCACUAAGAUUCCUAAGGGGAAAAUACUCAGAAGCUUGCUAAGCAUGCCAGCUUCUUUGGGAUUCCGAGGUGCACAGUCCCAUCCGCUUUCCAGCAGAGCCCCGCGUGCAACAGAAAAUUUCACGAUUGGGAGUCUUCAAGGGCAGGGACGAGAUCCCCUGAAGAUGCUCGAAUCUUGAAGAAGCUCAAAAGAUUUAACAAAAAAGAAACAAGAAGACUAGAAGCAACCUAAAUGCACAUAAAAUGGAAUCUUAUGUGGCCACUGAAAACACUGAGGCAGAUCUACACAUACUCACAAAGAAUGAAGUCCAUAGUGUAUUGUUAAGAGAAAAGAAUGCAAGAACAAUGGGAUGUGUCUACCCGAAGGUGUUUUUUGCAACAGAUAAAGGAAAUGUACCAUGUGAGUUUCCUCCACACUUGUGGGCUGGAACAGGAAUUUGUCAGCUGCCAUCAAUGAGCUGAGAAGCUAUGGAUGAGAAGUUUAGAGGAUGCAAUACAGGGAUUCAGUGCCUGCUCCAGAAUGUGCAACUGUGGGUGAGAAGAAACCAAGGGGGCAUUUAAUAAACCUCUGUCUGAGGAAUAAUAAAUCUGGCAGGGGACAUCUUUAAAGAAAACUGUCAGUUUUUCCUCAUUGUCCUGAUUAGGACAAAAGUGUUCAAAUUCUCCUUGUUAACAUAUUCUUUUUUGUUUCUUCCUUCCUCCCGUCCUCUCUUCCUCUCCCUCCCUCAACCACGGUUAUAGAUGCCCUUUCUACAAGGUCUGCCCUCCCUCAGGUGAACAUGACCUAAAUUAUCUGGCUCCCUCUCUGAUGGUGUAUUGAUUACUUCCCUAUUCCCAUAAACAACCCCUGGGCACUUCUCCAGGGGACUGGCUGUACUAGAUUAAAUUAAGAGCAAUCUUGGCUUUUAGCAGGGCCUUUCCACCAAGCAGUUGCCUUGCAGGAGUGAUUCAUGAGUUUAGUUUAUUAUCCUAAUGGCCUCCAGUAAGGCUGACCCCUUCCUCCAACAUAGCCUUUAGGCUACAUGGACUGGAUUUGGAGACCCUUGAUUAAGGUUGGGUAUAUUCCCAAAUAGGAGAGAGAGUGUGAGAAAAAACAUGGUGUGUGGUCACUUGCAGAACCAAACUGAGAGCUGAGCUCCACUCAGGCAGAAGUGGCUAAUCCUCAUUUUCGAAAAUGGCAUCUGGGGCAUUGCCGAUUCUCUGUGGGUUAAUGUGGCAGAAAGAGCUCUUUGUGGUCCCCCUGCUAAGCUGCUGUGCCAGUUUUGCUUCUAUGUUUUCAUAAAAUGUGUGGCUGUGGUUAUGAUUCUGACAGUCAGAAAUUCAGGAGCUCCCUGCUUCCUUUCCUCAGGAGGGAUUUACACUUCAAAUAAUUCUCAAUUAGCUAAUGAAGAAUUAAAUCGUCCUUACUGGCUUCAUCUUUGUACCCCAUCAUGCACUGUGUCCCCACAAUCCUGCUUCUCUAGAAGACACUCCGUUGCUUUUCUACGGCCUUUCUGCUGAAUUUGGUUGCCUUGACCUGCCUUAAGAAGCCUCUGAUUGGCUGAGCCAGGUGAUUGCCUUUUUGGUAACUAACUUGGGUAGAUAGGGCACACUUAGUUUUAGGAACUCCUCAAUUAAUCUUCUCCUGGGGCUUCCCUGGUGGCGCAGUCGUUAAAAAUCCGCCUGCCAAUGCAGGGGACACGGGUUCGAGUGCUGGUCUGGGAAGAUCCCACAGGCCACGGAGCAAUUAAGCCCGUGCGCCACAACUACUGAAGCCCAUGCGUCUAGAGCCUGUACUCCGCAACAAGAGAAGCCACCACAAUGAGAAGUCAGUGCACUGCAAGGAAGAGUAGCCCCUGCUCGCUGCAACUAGAGAAAGCCCGCGUGCAGCAAGGAAGACCCAACGCAGCUAAAAAAAAGAAAAAAAAACUUCUCCCCAAGGACAAGAUAGUAUAACUCAGCCAGAGUUUGGGGCAUCAGGGUAGAACUUAAAGACCAAACACAGAGUUCUCAGGUCCAUCGGCACACAAAAUGCCCAAGAUACUCAAGAUUGUCAGGGGCCCCAGAUCAUAUAACUUUCGGAAGAAACAUCCUGUAUCAUUGAUUCAAGCAUAAUGGGCCACAUUAAGUGUAUUUUGUAUGUAAGCGUUGAAAUGUAGGCAACUACU